rnacentral:rRNA from 1 species
GUCGAGGGGCAGCGGGGGAGUAGCAAUACUCCCGCCGGCGACCGGCGCACGGGUGAGUAACACGUAUGAAACCUGCCCGUAGCAGGGGGAUAAGCGGAAGAAAUUCCGUCUAAUACCGCGUAACAACCCAUGGAGGCAUCUCCGUGGGUUUAAAGGAAGCGAUUCCGGCUACGGAUGGUCAUGCGUCGCAUUAGCUUGUUGGCGGGGUAACGGCCCACCAAGGCGACGAUGCGUAGGGGUUCUGAGAGGAAGGUCCCCCACACUGGUACUGAGACACGGACCAGACUCCUACGGGAGGCAGCAGUGAGGAAUAUUGGUCAAUGGCCGCAGGGCUGAACCAGCCAAGUCGCGUGAGGGAUGACGGUCCUAUGGAUUGUAAACCUCUUUUGUCAGGGAGCAAAGGGCGCCACGUGUGGCGUUUUGCGAGUACCUGAAGAAAAAGCAUCGGCUAACUCCGUGCCAGCAGCCGCGGUAAUACGGAGGAUGCGAGCGUUAUCCGGAUUUAUUGGGUUUAAAGGGUGCGCAGGCGGAAUGUCAAGUCAGCGGUAAAAUUUCGGGGCUCAACCCCGUCGUGCCGUUGAAACUGGCGUUCUUGAGUGAGCGAGAAGUAUGCGGAAUGCGUGGUGUAGCGGUGAAAUGCAUAGAUAUCACGCAGAACUCCGAUUGCGAAGGCAGCAUACCGGCGCUCAACUGACGCUCAUGCACGAAAGCGUGGGUAUCGAACAGGAUUAGAUACCCUGGUAGU